rnacentral:lncRNA from 14 species
ACAUAAUGAGAAGGAAAACACAAUUCAGUGAAUUCUUGUAUAUGAAAAUUAAUUUUUAUUUGAGGGCGUGGAUGUAUUACUGCAGUGGCUGACUGAUAAAUUUUUCUCUAUAUUAUUUCUUGGACUAAUUUGAUGACUAUACUUCCUAUUAUGAGCUAAUGCUGUGUUUUCUUUGCAAAUAGAAAACCUGUGAUUAGAGCAAUAAUGGUAAGAUAAAACUUUAAAAGAUAAGAUAAACCCUAAAAAUAUCUUCUAAAGGUUCUAGAAUUUUACAAAUUAAAAAUCAAACAGAUGAGGAAGUGAUCUAAAGUCACAAAGUGGCUGUGUAUGCUUAGUAGUGAAGAUCAUGGUAAUCUGUACUUAAAAGUGAACAUCUUCUGAAAUUGUGAAACGUAGCACAAACUAUGGGACAUGCAUGAAGUUGGUAAUAAUGUGAUUUACUGUGUACACCAGCUAAGACUUUACUUGAGGUGUCUACUGGAUAAUGUUCAUUAUAACCUCGGCAUCUGUCUUUGUGAAACACGUGGGUGGCCUUAGUUUGAUUCAGUGUGGGUGCUUAUAUUGAGUAGCACUAAUGUGCUUGUGCUACCUGGCCCUUUUGGUCUCAGAAAGAAUAACAAAGCCUCAGCUGAGCCCUAGGACUAAAUUAUGUGCUGACCUUUUUAGGUGUGACCCUGAGAACAAGUCAAAACUUGAACGAUCACACUGUGAACUACUGAAUUCUGUUCCCCUGGGAAAUGAAGAGAGGAUUGCAGGCCUGUCAUUAGCCAUGAGAGCAGCUAACUAGCUGACUCGAGGAAGAGGAGGAUGUGUCAAGGGCAGCUGAGCAGCAAGGUCAUGACAGUGCACCUGAAACUAGAGGAGCUUAGUGGAGAGAUGCAGAAGUUUGCUGGAUGAUUGGUACAUUACUUGCACAGAAGUACGUAAGUAGAAACAAAGAAGCUCACCUGAAUCUUAGUUGUGUGCUUUGGUAUAAAAAUCAUAGUUUUAAGCUUCAAUACUGAGAUCUUUAUCAUGGAAAAAAAAAACCAAACCAUUAAAAACUAGUAGAAGUCUAGGCCCCGGAAGUGAACACCACUAAGUUUAUUUUAUGUUUCAACAUUGGUUAUACCUCUGUAUCCUUGAAGAAAAACAGGUCUACGAAGUCAAAUCUCCACAGACUUUUCAAGUGCACACACUAACCCACCCUGUAUUACAGUUUGUAAUUUGGUGCUUUUAUUUUGCUUUUCAGUUCUUUUGAUUACUUUUUUAAUGACUGUUUUCUUUUUCUUCUUCUUCAACAUGAACAAGUCAGUGCAAAAUGACUCAAGCAUUAGGGAAUGAAGCCUUGGAAAAAGCCUUACUUUUCAAGCAGCAAGUCUGCAUCUCUAGUAGCCAACACUGCUCGUAAGGCAGAAUGCUGUCAUUCCUGGUGCAGCAGCAGCAGCAGCCACCAGUGCAAAGGAGCUGCGUGUGUUCCAUGCACGUCACGAGUUGUUGCAUAAGGUUUCUUUAUCUUCAGGCAUAUUAUUAGCUUACUUCAAGUAAAUUGUAAGGCUGAUGGGGCUGAAUGGCAAGAAUCAUAAAGCUGGGAUCUUGAAGGAAAUAGUGAUUGUUUCCUUUAUUUACAGGAGUCAAAAGGAAUUACAUUAAGAGGGCAGGACACUAUUUUAAAGAACACCAUACUGAUGUGGUUUAUGUAUUAGUGUCAGCAAAACUUUUUUUUUAAAUACAGUUCUAACCUGAAUUGUGUACCUGAUUUUUGUUUGAUGAUGUUUGCUUUUUAGGUCAAAGGAGGUGAUCCUGCC